rnacentral:rRNA from 1 species
AUUGAACGCUGGCGGCAUGCCUAACACAUGCAAGUCGAGCGAGUGAAUGGGGCUUGCUCCUGGAUUCAUCGGCAAACGGUUGAGUAAUGCCUAUGAAUCUGCAUUGACUUCGGGGAUAGCGUCCGGAAACGGGCUCUAAUACCGCGUACAUCCUGAUGUAGAAAUUGGAGGGUCUUCGGACGUCACACUAACAUAGUAGCCUAGGUCGGAUUCGCUAGUUGGUGGGGUAAAUGCAUACCCAGGCGACGAUCCGUAACUGGUAUGAGAGCAUGAUCAGUUACAUUGGCACUGAGACACGGCAGCGACUCCGACGGGAGGACGCAGUGCGGACUAUUAGACGAUGGGGGAAAGCCUGAUAUAGCAAUGUCGGCUGUAUGAAGAACGUCCACUGCUUCUAAAGCACUUUAAGCUGUGAGGAAGGACAGUUCGUUAACACCUUGCUGUUUUGACGUUACCAACAGAAUAAGCUCCGGCUAACUCCGUG